rnacentral:rRNA from 1 species
AGUGAACGCUGGCGGUAGGCCUAACACAUGCAAGUCGAACGGCAGCACAGUAAGAGCUUGCUCUGACGGGUGGCGAGUGGCGGACGGGUGAGGAAUACAUCGGAAUCUACUUUUUCGUGGGGGAUAACGUAGGGAAACUUACGCUAAUACCGCAUACGACCUACGGGUGAAAGUAGGGGAUCUUCGGACCUUGCGCGAUUGAAUGCGCCGAUGUCGGAUUAGCUAGUUGGCGGGGUAAAGGCCCACCAAGGCGACGAUCCGUAGCUGGUCUGAGAGGAUGAUCAGCCACACUGGAACUGAGACACGGUCCAGACUCCUACGGGAGGCAGCAGUGGGGAAUAUUGGACAAUGGGCGCAAGCCUGAUCCAGCCAUACCGCGUGGGUGAAGAAGGCCUUCGGGUUGUAAAGCCCUUUUGUUGGGAAAGAAAAGCAGCAGGUUAAUACCCCGCUGUUCUGACGGUACCCAAAGAAUAAGCACCGGCUAACUUCGUG